GCGCAUUAGCUAGUUGGUAAGGUAACGGCUUACCAAGGCAACGAUGCGUAGCCGACCUGAGAGGGUGAUCGGCCACACUGGGACUGAGACACGGCCCAGACUCCUACGGGAGGCAGCAGUAGGGAAUCUUCCGCAAUGGAUGAAAGUCUGACGGAGCAACGCCGCGUGAGUGAGGAAGGCCUUCGGGUCGUAAAGCUCUGUUGUGAGGGAAGAAGCGGUACCGUUCGAAUAGGGCGGUACCUUGACGGUACCUCACCAGAAAGCCACGGCUAACUACGUGC
rnacentral:rRNA from 1 species